rnacentral:rRNA from 1 species
UACGUAGGGUGCAAGCGUUGUUCGGAAUUACUGGGCGUAAAGGGAGCGUAGGCGGAACUGUAAGUUAGGAGUUUAAUACACGGGCUUAACCCGUGCGUGGCUCUUAAUACUGCAGUCCUUGAGUAUGGGAGAGGGCGAUGGAAUUCCAGGUGUAGCGGUGGAAUGCGUAGAUAUCUGGAAGAACACCAGUAGCGAAGGCGGUCGCCUGGCCCAAUACUGACGCUGAGGCUCGAAAGCUAGGGGAG